GUCUACGGCCAUGCCACCCUGAACAAGCCCGAUCCCAUCUGAUUUCAGAAGCUAAGCAGGGUCAGGCCUGGUUAGUACUUGGAUGGGAGACCACCUAGGAAGACCAGGUGCUGUAGGCA
rnacentral:rRNA from 1 species